rnacentral:rRNA from 1 species
GCGAACGCUGGCGGCAGGCUUAACACCUGCAAGUCGAGCGGGCACUUUCGGGUGUCAGCGGCGGACGGGUGAGUAACGCGUGGGAACGUGCCCUCUGGUUCGGAAUAACUCAGGGAAACUUGAGCUAAUACCGGAUACGCCCUUUUGGGGAAAGGCUUGCUGCCGGAGGAUCGGCCCGCGUCUGAUUAGCUAGUUGGUGAGGUAACGGCUCACCAAGGCGACGAUCAGUAGCUGGUCUGAGAGGAUGAUCAGCCACACUGGGACUGAGACACGGCCCAGACUCCUACGGGAGGCAGCAGUGGGGAAUAUUGGACAAUGGGCGCAAGCCUGAUCCAGCCAUGCCGCGUGAGUGAUCAAGGCCUUAGGGUUGUAAAGCUCUUUUAUCCGGGACGAUAAUGACGGUACCGGAGGAAUAAGCCCCGGCUAACUUCGU